rnacentral:RNase_P_RNA from 2 species
CAGGAAGGCAAGAAGGCCGCCCUCCGCUGUUUCACAGCGGGAAACUCUAAAUGCGAAAUCCUAAAUUCUAAACUUGUUUCAUCAAUUCGAAUUUGUUUAGGGUUUAGUGCAUAGAGUUUAGGUUUUCCACCGUGAGGCGGUGGGGGGAGGAAAGUCCGAGCACUCCCCAAUAUAUUAGGGAAAUAAGCAAUCGCUAACAGCGAUCGGGAGCAAUUCGUACCUUACUCGAUGUGUCGAUAUUUCGAAAUGUCGAUAAGGGUCAGCGGAUGAAGCCCAGGGAAAGUGCAACAGAGACAAUACUAACCCAUUGCUUCGCAAUGGGAAACUCUAAAUCCAAAAUCCUAAAUGAAUUGAGAAUUGAACACUUGUUUUGUUUAGGGUUUAGCGCUUAGGGUUUAGAAUUUCCACUGCGGAGCAGUGAGUAAAAGGUGAAAAGCACCUUGGUGUAUUUGUGGGCAGCAAUGUUUACUGAUGCUACAAGGUUCCGUACGCGGCGACGCGUAUUGGUUGCAAACCCUGCUUGAGUGAAAGGAGAGAAACCUCCGUGCCAGUUCCGCAGCAAUGCGGAACGCAGACAGAUGGCCUUACCUCAUUGCUUCGCAAUGGGAAACUCUAAAUUCAAAAUCCUAAAUCCUAAAUAAAUUGAGAAUUGAACACUUGUUUUGUUUAGGGUUUAGCGCUUAGGGUUUAGAAUUUCCACUGCGGAGCAGUGGUGACAGAACUCGGCUUACCACCCUUCCUGGAAG